AAAAAGAUGAAGUGGGGUGCGGGUUAAAUCCUGAGAUAGUAAAUUUUUUGGGUUGGGAUUUGUCAAAUUUGGUGGGAAAUUGCAGUGAGGGAAGAGAUGAAAUUCUCAGAGCUUCCAUGGCUGGUGCCACGAAUGGAGCUCAACGAGGUAAGAACUUGGAGGCUCAAAAGUGUAAAGCUUUGAACGUGGCAUGCAGUAAAAAGAAACUUGAGGUGCAGAUUUGGGAUGAGAAUUUUGUCGACAGAAGUGGAUAACAUGACAAGUGGUUCAAGGCUUAACUGGUCAUAAUGUUUUAGUUUGCUAUUCAAUGCAUGCCCAACCACAUAAUGUUUUGUUCCUUUUCUGUUUUUCCCUUUUUCUUUUAUUUUUUAGGUGAUGAUUUUAGGAAAAUAACUAACUCUAUGCAACGAACGAUACGGAAUGCAACCAUUUACCAAACUGAGAGAUGAUCCACAUUAUCCAAUAGACAACAUUGACAUUAGCAUGAUACUCUUUGUAUGGCGUACAAACUCAUGCUCAACAGUGUUUAGUUUACAUGCAUUCGGAUCACGUAUGCUUCGUAAUUACAUUACCCCGCGCGGUGUUUAUUGUUGUAUUAAGCUAAACGCACGGUGAGCGAAGAUUAACCAGAUCACCGGAAAGCAUGGUUGUAGUCAUGAAAGUGAAACUGUUUGUAGAUAAAGUAUGCCAACCAUUUUGAAGCUGCAAAUGAUAGUAUAGCUGCUGCAACGAGCGUAGUUCUUGCAGCCACUGAUAUGGCAGCCUGCUUGGUUGCAGCAACAAUUCCCACUACAGCAAAAGCGGCAAACUGCAAUACAACUUCGAGCACUUUCAGACCUUUGUAUCCGGCACUGCAACUGCUGCAGUUUACCACAUGGGACCAGUACCUGAAAAGGUUGUGCAAACACCCGUCGAUGAUGAUUCAACAAUAAGAGGACUUUUAAGUUUUAACACUCUCCAACUUAGUUCUUAUGGCCAUGACACAACCUGGCAAAGCAAAUGCUUGCAUUUCAACUAAUAAACCCAAAUUUUUCGAAUGUGUGCUGGAAAUUUCUAUAUCUUUUGCUGGCCUGAAGACUCGAAGAACAAACUGAGAGAUGCUUGAAGGUGUGUUAUAACAGAUCAGGUUUGUAAAAGUUGCAGGAACACCAAAUUUUAGCAUAUUUUCGAGACCGCUAUGAUCUACUUUGAUGCCAUCAGAAUUUCCCAUAUAAACUGUUCUAAUUUUCUGAAACUAAGUAAUCAAUUUGUUGUUUGAAUCCUGCUUCAUAACUAUGUGAAAGUUACCUGUCCAGCAACUGUUCUCUAGGAGGAGUGGGGGGAAGAGCCCCACUGAACUUGCCUCUCCAAUCUACCUGACCGCCAGCGUACUUGUUUAACCAUUUUCUGAAACCAACCACAAGGGCAUCUGACUUUGUUGGCACAAAACAUGCUUUUUGCCACUGGGCAGGGCCAGCUUCCAUUAUCUUACGUUCCUGUACGAAGAACUCAAGACUCAGGCAAGAAUAAGUGCGAUAAGAGAUUCACCAAAGACUCGUAUUCUGUGGUCAUGCAGCUGCACACUUUAACUCAAUAGAAUGUUUUUCUUAUUGUUCAGAAGAAAAGCCUCAACCAAGUCUUACACAUUCAGCAAGUGAAAAGCAAGAUAAUUUCUAAACCUACUAUUUUUUUUGAGAAGAUUUCUAAACCUACUAUCAAGAGUUAAAAGUCACCUCAACAUGAAGAAGAUAUAUAUCGGAGUCCAGAACCAGAUUUUGUCCAAUAUGAAACAUCCACCGCGGAACAAUCUUAUCAAUCCAAAUGCCGAAGUUUCUUGGGAAGGUCGAUAUCAACCUGCUAUUACCCGGACUAACUGGGAUACAAAUAAAAAUUAGAAGACUUCUCCGCUGGGCUGAUGACACCUACACAAAUCACCAUACACAUAAAGAGAUGUACAAAAGGAUUUAAAGAUAAAGGAUUUGAACAAAAACAGAAUGUUCUACCUUUUUGGUUUCAGCUGAUGAUGCAGCCCCAUUACCCUGCUCAAGUGGAUCAAGUGGAGUACCGUAGAAUACACAUGGUGGCAAAAAUUUACUCCAACCCCAUUCCUGCUUUGCGAUGAAACCAUUUAUGUCUAACUUCUCAACUCUCAAAUCCAAUGGUCUACCCCCUUCUCUAUCAGCUUUCUCUGUAAAGAAAUGAACUUUAAAUCAUCCUGAACCUCCUAUACAAAGUGAAAUUAACUUCAUGAAAGUGAUGCAUAAACUAGUAUUUGCCUUUGGGUUGUCUCAUUUGCAUUAUUCCAUAAUGCGCAUAUGGAACAUGAGCAGGGUCCAUAAGAUUUUCAAUCAAGACCUCGUACCUGGAAUUGCAAUAAGGAUAUUAAGCGAAGUUAUUAAGAGGAAAACUGAAAAAUGAAAAUUCAAUAUUUCAGAUUGAUACACCUAAAAGUUCUUGAACAUGAAAGACAAAAUAAGACCUGGAUGCAGAUUCACAAGGUUUCUUAUAAAGAAGCAUUAUGCCUCAGUAGAAAAAUAGUUUCAUAUCAGAACUGGUAGGAAAAAAAAGUAUCUUUACAUACCCGUAAGGAAUCUCUCUGUUUCCCAUUGGACCACUAUACGAUGGAUCAUCUAGUUCAGGUAUGUAGGGAGGUUUUUUCUCUGCAAGAACAUCUUUGUAUUGAGGAUCGGAAUUUGGCCAAAACCACACAAUGCCAUUCUGCACAGUUGUUGGAUAAGCGGCUACACAUGCUUUCUUAUUCGUGUGAAUCUGCAAGUUGAAAGUGUCAUCCCUAUCAUCUUAUUUAAACUACAAACCAUGCACAGCAUAUAGUUUAUUGCCACAGAACCACUUCUGCAAGAACAACAAGAGAGGAGUUUCGAUUCAAACUUGGAAUACUAUUACUAUAAAUAAUGUUUAAAGUUCAUUAAAAUUGGUCCCUAUAUUUCAAUUGACGUGAUUUAAUCCCUAUAGUUUACGAAGGCCACAGUUCGUGUCUAGGAUUGGGUGAUAACUCACUAGAUUCUAUGAAUGCUGAAAUAAGAAAUGAACCCCAACUUCCAACUUUUGUCAUAGUCUAGGAAUUAGAUGGAUUAAUCACGAAGGAAGUUAUCCCUUCCCGUUCUAGGCACCAAGAGUGGUGUAAUUGUUGCAAUUGAAGGCCAAUGACUUAAUUGUGUCAUUUUUUCGACAUAAUUAGCAUACAAUCGUCAUAUAUAAAGGAAAAAUUAGACUUUUUGGAGGUGUAAAAAGCUAGCAUCAAUUCCGUUGAAAAUCCAACAUAAUUAAGCCAUCGUCCUUGAACUGCAACAAUUAAUAAACUACAGCACAAAGACGUCAAAUCACAACCACUGAAACUACAGCAAUCAAAGUGGAAAAUCAUACUUUUUAUGCAAAACUAUGGUAUUAUUUGACAUCUCUAGCAAUCUAUCUAAUUAACUUGUACGAAGGUUUACCAUAAUAACUAGCUGUACGUAUAUCUAUAUCUUUCUUGCAUGAAGGUUUUCAGUCAAGGAUUAUUUACCGGAGGGCCAUCAGUUGGUGCUUGAGGGAUGAACUUGCAGUCACCGGAGCCAUUAAAACACCAACCGUGAUAGACGCACUGCAACCUGCCCCACUGAUCAAUCCUCCCUUCCGACAACGGCGCCAACCUGUGGGGACAAGCAUCAUCGAACACCUUCCAAGCACUCUCGUUCCGGUCCCACCACACCACCACGUCUAUCCCCAAAACCUUCUUUCCAUGCGGGACCCUCUUAUCGAGAUCGCAAACCGGCAUCAACGGAUACCAUUGGGCGUACCAGUCGAAUUUCUCCUCCUGGGUCGGGUUUUCGAGUGAUGGGUCGGGUGGGUUUGCAGGCUCGGUCGAAACAGAGGAUUGUACGGCGGUGAAAGUCUUGAACGCUGAUGACGCGGUUCCUUUCAACGGUGAAAAAGACGAAGUGGGGUAUGGGUUAAAUCCUGAGAUGGUAAGUUUUUUGGGUUGGGAUUCGUCAAAUUUGGUAGGAAAUUGCGGUGAGGGAAGAGAUGAAAUUCUCAGAGCUUCCAUGGCUGCUGCCACGUGUGGAGCUCAAGAAGGUAAGAACUUGGAGGCUCAAAAGUGUAAAGCUUUGAACUUGGCAUGCGGUAAAAAGAAACUUGAGGUUCAGAUUUGGGAUGAGAAUUUUGUCUACUGUAGUAGAUAAC
rnacentral:lncRNA from 1 species